CCAUAGUAAAGAUGGAGAGAGGUAAAGGGAGAAUUUGGGGAUGGUUAAUUAAAUUUUUCCUAUAAUGGGUCGUAUUACAAUUAAAUGGCCGUCGUUUUACAUAGCUAGUUGGUGUGGUAAGAGCGCACCAAGGCAACGAUCAGUAGCUGGUCUGAGAGGACGACCAGCCACACUGGGACUGAGACACGGCCCAGACUCCUACGGGAGGCAGCAGUGAGGAAUUUUCCGCAAUGGGCGAAAGCCUGACGGAGCAAUACCGCGUGAGGGAGGAAGGUUCUUGGAUUGUAAACCUCUUUUCUCAGAGAAGAAUAAUGACGGUAUCUGAGGAAUAAGCAUCGGCUAACUCCGUGCCAGCAGCCGCGGUAAUACGGAGGAUGCAAGCGUUAUCCGGAAUGAUUGGGCGUAAAGGGUCUGUAGGUGGUUGUUCAAGUCUGCUGUUAAAGCGUCUGGCUUAACCAGAUAAAGGCGGUGGAAACUGAACGACUAGAGUGCGGUAGGGGUAGAGGGAAUUCCCAGUGUAGCGGUGAAAUGCGUAGAUCUUGGGA
rnacentral:rRNA from 1 species